UACAGAGGGGGCAAGCGUUGUUCGGAAUUACUGGGCGUAAAGGGCGCGUAGGCGGCCUUCUAAGUCGAACGUGAAAUCCCCGAGCUCAACUCGGGAACUGCGUCCGAUACUGGUUGGCUUGAAUCCGGGAGAGGGAUGCGGAAUUCCAGGUGUAGCGGUGAAAUGCGUAGAUAUCUGGAGGAACACCAAUGGCGAAGGCAGCUCUCUGGGACGGUACUGACGCUGAGACGCGAAAGCGUGGGGAGCGAACAGG
rnacentral:rRNA from 1 species